CAUGUAGAGAUUGCUGUUGGUCUGUGCAUUAUACUCCUUAACCUUGUGUUGAAUCUCACCAGCAGUCAGCUUCUGUUUACCCCAGUCGAUGUGUUCAUCCUGAAAAGGGGGGAGAGGAGAGAGUUCAGCAGAUGGGUCACACGCUGUCAGCAGAAAGCUCGUCCUCACAAGUGACAGGGAGCAAAUCAACGCAGACAAAAGUCAAACGAAUUCAAGCUCUGUGUCUGUAGCGAGAGAAAGACGUGAUUUAAUUCAGUCGACCAAACAGAAAGUAGAAAACAGCUGUGUGCCUAUAGGACUGAUGAACUCCAAAUCCUCACCGCUGAUCCUCUGACCUCGCGGAAGAAAGACGUGUGUGCGGUGAAAUACACCUCCAGCUCCGAGCCAGUGCUGCUCUCCUCACUUGCUGUUCUUCCCCAGGUCAUCUCCGAGCUUCAGGGAUGCCUUGACAGUGAGGAGGCGAUAAAACCAGUGUCUCUGAGGACAUGUGGCACACGGAUGAACAGCAGUGGACAAUCUGUUAGCCUCCAUCUGCUUUGACCUACCCACCUACACUGUUAAAUAAAAAAAAGUAAUAACACAAUCCCAUGAAGGCUGCGUCCUGUAUGUUCCACGUGUGAUUGUGUCUUUGUUUCUCACCACGUUUGUGUCCGUCUCGAUGGAGUCGACAGAGAAAUCUUCCUGGUCUGU